AACGAACGCUGGCGGCAGGCUUAACACAUGCAAGUCGAACGCAUCCUUCGGGGUGAGUGGCAGACGGGUGAGUAACGCGUGGGAACGUGCCCUUCAGUUCGGGAUAACCCAGGGAAACUUGGGCUAAUACCGGAUACGUGCGAGAGCAGAAAGAUUUAUCGCUGAAGGAUCGGCCCGCGUCUGAUUAGCGAGUUGGGGGGGUAAUGGCCCACCAAGGCGACGGUCAGUAGCUGGUCUGAGAGGAUGAUCAGCCACAUUGGGACUGAGACACGGCCCAAACUCCUACGGGAGGCAGCAGGGGGGAAUAUUGGACAAUGGGCGCAAGCCUGAUCCAGCCAUGCCGCGUGAGUGAUGAAGGCCUUAGGGUUGUAAAGCUCUUUCGUCCGGGACGAUAAUGACGGUACCGGAAGAAGAAGCCCCGGCUAACUUCGUGCCAGCCGCCGCAGUAA
rnacentral:rRNA from 1 species